UUAAUGAAAUGUGAAUACAAUUCUAGUUUUCUCACAUGGUAUCACGAGCCCUAGUCUAACGACUUUUCUCUCUGCAAAUUUUCUUGCAAUUUUCUUCCUUGCCAAACACCUUUCUUCGAUCACUUUCUCUCUCCUUUUUCACUUUCUCAUGGCUCUUUCGACCAAUUCUGAUGCUCCUCUUCCACCGCUCUCUUCUCCCUCUUCCCCUAAUUCUGAUGCGACCAAUUCUGUUAAUUCGCCAUUGUCAAACUCUGUGAGCUCGGUGACUGUCCAGAACAUUGCUGGUAUGGUUCCUAUCAAGCUGAAAUCUGGAAAUUAUCUGUUGUGGAAGAAUCUUUUUCUUCCGGUGCUACGCAAAUUCAAGCUUCUUGGUCUUAUCAAUGGCGCUGAACCUUCUCCUUCGCGCACCAUCGUUUCUUCUUCAGGCCCUGUUGUUGUGAAUCCCUAAUAUGAUCUCUGGGAUGAUCGCGAUCAAAGCCUCAUGAUCUGGCUUAUUUCAACUCUCUCUGAGGAUCUUCUCUCUCAUAUUGUGGGCAUUGAAUCUGCUCAAGAUUUGUGGAAUCUUCUUGAAAGGCGUUUUUCUGGUGUCUCUCAAGCCAAUAUUCAUCAACUGUGCUCUCGUCUUCAAAGCAUUUCUAAAGGCGACCUCUAUGGAUUCUUAUCUUUAAUCUGUGAAGGAAAUUGCUGAUGGCUUAGCAGUUGCUGGUCAAUCGUUGUCAGAAUUAGAUCUCGUUGCCUAUGUGCUUAAUGGUCCCCCGGAUGAAUAUGACUCUUUCAUUACGUCAAUCGAGACGAGAAUUGAACCUGUUACUCUUGAUGAAUUACAUGAUCUUCUACUCAGUCGUGAGUCUGCGAUUCUCAAAUGCAAAACUCGAUCCACCUCUGCAGUUGCUACUAAGCCUUUUCAUGCUUUCGCUACUACUUCUGGUUCUUCUUGCUCAAAUUUCAGAGGCGGACGUGGUCAUGGUCGGUUCCUUUCCAACUCUGGUUCUCAAUUUCAUUCUCGUAAUCAUCCUUUCACUAGCACCACCACCUCUUCUGGAUGAGGCCUUUUACCUACGCUGUCAUCUUUUUUUCCUGGCAACACCUCAAAUGGUACCAACUCCAAUGGUUUCUUCUGCAAUUCUUCCGAAUUCUCUCCUGAUCGUUCCAUGGCUUGUCAAAUUUAUGAGCACAAGGGUCAUUCUGCUCUAACAUGUCGCCAGAGGUUGAAUCUUUCUCACAAUGCUAAUAUGGUUCUUGCCCGAUUUCAAGCUCAUUCCGCGCACUAUGCUCACUCUGCUUCUCAGCCUACCUCAAAUAUGAGCAAUCUAAGUCACUCCUCUCCAUACACAGGAUCUGAGACUCUCCGUGUUGGUGAUGGACAAUGCUACACAAAGGAUGCUCUAUCAGGGCCCUUGUGAACAAGGUUUAUAUCCUAUCUACUACAGCUCAUCAGUUCAA